CGAGAGAGUAGGGUGCCCCGGUAUCAGUCGGAUGACCUACCCAGAGUUUUUUCUUGUUCUAGGUCGCCAAGAUGGUCGCCCACGGUAGGGUGAGGACUCGAGAGGUGGAGCUACGGCUGGGGGAGCUGUCGUGCCCGGGCCUGGACAAAGGCAGAUGGGACAUGGCCUCACGACCUUCACCUUCAGUGGUUCCGGCGGUAAGUUAUAUGCUGUUAAACCUUCUAGGGACCUUUUACAGGGCCUAAAGUCUUUUCUGGGCUCAUGGAGUGGGGGUUCGGGGGCCAGCAUUAGCUUUGGGCAGGUGUGGGCGUCUAGGCAGGAUAGGGCGGGGGCGGAGAUGGUGGCGGUUCCAUCAUUGGAGAUUAUUGGCAGCUCUGACAGGGGCAUGGGGGUUCCGUCAGUGAUGGCCACAGGUGACUUAGGAGUGGAGAGAAUGUUCAUGUCUCCUUCUCAGGGCCCUUGGGGUGAAACGUAGGUGAAAGAGAGAAUAUGGAAAGGGGAAUUUGUGGAGGUUUUUUUCUCUUCUUCCUCUGGAUGAAUACUUGGACAUGAAGGAAGAGGGUAAAAAAGAUGCCAAGAAGGAGGAAGAAGAGAAAGAGCGCUGUUAUCGGAAAAUGCCAAAGACGUUUGGGAAUUGGUUGAGGGCAUUCUGCAUUCUCGCGAGUGUUGUGGGGGAGAAAUCCCGGGAGUGCUGCUAGCAGUUGUUCUGCUACUUGGAUGGGAUCUGGAAGGCUUACCGCAACUACAGAGGCUUGGCGUGGUGGCGGUACGACGAGCAGUUUCAGCAGAGACUGUCGGUCAAUCUGGGCAUGACAUGGGACCGGAUGGGCCUGCCGCUGUGGAUGAAGCUCAUGAUGGCACAGAAGGCAUACCCCUUUCAGCCCAGGGCCAGCGUGGGAUCUUCCUAAAGGGUUCUGCUGGAGUUUAACGAGGGGCAGUGUAAGUGGGGCUCAACGUGUCGUUUCAAACACGAAUGCUCCGGGUGUGGAGGUGCGCAUGGGUACAACUGGUGCUUCAAGAAGCGUAAGUCCUUCUCUGCGGGAAGAAUGGUGGAGGGUGCAGGGGCACCCACUGCUGCUGGGGCGGUCACCGGUGUCAUGAUUUGCUGGGCUGCUUUUUUGAAGGGCAGUAUGUCGUCAAUCUGUGUUUACCGAUGGGGAGUUCCAUCUCAUUUGCGUACUUCGAAAAGUUCAGGACUUUUCUAGAGUGGGUGGGUAAUACGAGGCGGGCACGGGAUUUGUGGUCCAUUACCUAGACAAUUUCUUUUGUGUCGGGCUGGCGAGUUCGGAGGUGUGCUGCAUAGGGUUGAGAACUUUUGAAUGGGUCGUGAAUGUCUUUGUAAUACCGCUGGCGAGUGACAAGAUGGUGGGGUAGACUACUUGCUUGUCCUUCCUGGGCCUGGAGAUAGAUUCGGUCCCGGGGGAAUGUUGGUUACCGGAGGACAAGUUGAUGGCUCUGCGAGAGGCGGUGGCGGAGGUCUGGGAUGCCUAGAAGGUUAUUUUACGGGUGCUUCAGCCUUUGGUGGGCCAGCUCAACUUUGCGUGCCAGGUGCACCCGGUAGGAAGGGUGUUCAACAGAUUCCUCUCAAGGGCAAACAGUGGGGUAGUGUCACCGCAUCACUUCAUUCGGGUGUCAGCAUCCAUGAAUGCCAAUCUGGAUGUGUGGCAGGUUUUUCUAAGGGAUUUUAAUGGGUGGGUGUAUUUCUGGGAGCCCACGCGAACUUCAACGGUUUUGGAGUUGUUCACGAACGCGUCAGGGAGCAUCGAGUUUAGGGCUUAUUUUGUUGGGCAUUGGUGUGCUGAGCCAUGGAUGGAGGAGUGGAAAGCCAGCCCACUCAUCUGCAACUUGGUGUUUCUUGAAUUCUUCCCUUUAUUGGUGACGCUGGCAUUGUGGGGUAACAGCUGAGGAACAGAAAAGUUAUCUUUUUUACUGACAACUUGUCGGAGGUGGAGGCUGUUAAUGGUUUAUCGGCUUCUUCUAUCCCUGUUAUUCGGCUCCUUCUCUGCUUUGUUCUUUCCUGCUUGCAGUUUAAUGUUGUGUUCAGGGCACGGCACGUGCCGGGGCUGUUGAACGUGGUGGCUGAUUCACUCUCUCGUUUUCAGUGGGAACAGUUUCAGGCAGCAGCUCCGGGCACACAGAGGGAAGGAGUGUGGACGUGUGGCAGCUCAGGACAUCUUGCUUGGCGGACUCAUAAGGGGGUCGUUGACGCUGUCCACAUGAGUGGCCUAUGUCAAGGUUUGGCGAGAAUGGAAUGCUGCAAUGGUGUAUGUGGGAGGUAAAAAUUCUGAAGGAUUAUCAAAGGUUGAGGCAGAUGGCCCCUGGCAUGGUUGUCAUAUGGUCGGCAGUACUAUCAGGCAGAUGAGAUACCAGUUAAUAUUUCAACAAAACCCUUGCCAAGAAAUAAUGUGAAUAGGGGCAUGUCUGCUAAACAGUGAGCAGGCUGCUCACUGUUGUAAAAAAAAAGCCCCCUCCUUCCAACCAAUGCCCAUGGUCCGGCAUCUAUUAACUAGUGGUGGGGACAUAGUUCCCCCCCCAGCCCCCACCCGUGCCCCGCAAGUGGGGGCUAUACAACUAAACUAUUGUCAUUUAGGGCCCCCAGCCACCUGUUGUGGAAAUAAGGUCUACACAUAUUUCCUAGUUAGUGAAAAAUGUCUAUUUACUCAUUUCACGAUAUAUAUAUAUAUAUAUAGCUAAGCACACACGUUAUAAUCAAGAUGGCUGCUGGAAGCUUCUAGCUCCUUCCCCCUCCCCCUUUCUUUCUCCCUCCUAACAUCGACUAACUACCUCGUGCACCAAGAUGGCGCCGGGAAACCGUGGGAGAUUCUCAUGGCCCCGGUGACAUCACCUACAGUAGGCAGAGCAUUGAAGCAACCACUUAACACCUAACCAAUUAUUGAUGUAUUAUUCCAUGUUAUCUCUGACAAUGCUUAUGAUGUAAUUUUGCUUUAAAAGGGACUUGCCGUCCCCUCUGAAUAAACUUUCCUCAAGUUAUUCAACAACCUAGAACCUGUGUCUGGUGUGAAUUACUUCAGGGAGCGUGCACGCAUUAUUUCAUUGAUUUGGCCAGGGGCAGAUACACAAAGAAAUAAUCAAUACUUUAAUUGAUUUUUCCACUUCAAUUGGCGCCCAACGUGGGGCCCACCGGAGAGCCGGUUCGGAGGGCCGGAACCAACGGACCGGAGCGGACCUCCGGAAAGUGGGACAAGCGGAGCCUGAUCACCUCCAUAAUACAGCCGUUGCCUGUGUUAUUCUCCUGUUUUGUGCCGGUCUGUCUCCGAGUCCACUUCCGGCUUCCAGAAGGCUACUAGAGACAGGUAAUUAACUCAUCCGGUGCGCCCUUUUUAAGUGAACCUGUCGAUUGUCUAUCUGCCUCCUGUAUUCAUUUAUGUGUGUGUGUUUAUUAUACCAUUUUAUAUGUUUGCUUGACUGCCUAGCGGGCAGGGAACGCAUUUUAUAUGUUUGCUUGACUGCCUAGCGGGCAGGGAACGCAUUUUAUAUGUUUGCUUGACUGCCUAGCGGGCAGGGAACGCAUUUUAUAUGUUUGCUUGACUGCCUAGCGGGCAGGGAACGCAUUUUAUAUGUUUGCUUGACUGCCUAGCGGGCAGGGAACGCAUUUCAGCCAGGGGGCUGGGUUUUUAUGUUAGCUUGACUGCCUAGCGGGCAGGGAACGCAUUUCAGCCGGUGGGGCUGGGUUUUUAUGUUAGCUUGACUGCCUAGCGGGCAGGGAACGCAUUUCAGCCGGUGGGGCUGGGUUUUUAUGUUAGCUUGACUGCCUAGCGGGCAGGGAACGCAUUUCAGCCGGUGGGGCUGGGUUUUUAUGUUAGCUUGACUGCCUAGCGGGCAGGGAACGCAUUGCAGCCGGUGGGGCUGGGAUUUUUGUUUGAUUAUUGCAGUAUUUCCUUUGGUACCAGUGUUUUGCCGGGACCAGCCUGGUGGGUGAAGGCUGGGGAUUGUUAUACCCUGAAUAUCUGACACCGGUGGUGUUAACAUGUACAUGGCUAUUUUGCUCUCUAUCAUUCUGUGGUUUCUGUUUAAUUGUUGUUACAGUGUGGGUACCCUUGGUGUGUGUGUGUGUAUUGUGUGGUUAGUUCUGGAUUCCGGAGUUUACACUCAUUUGUAUGUUUGUGAUUUUUGCAAAUGUCUUCUCAUUAGCGCAGCCACGUUCAUUUUCUCCUUUGUUCUUUAUCUUUCCUGUGCCUGUUGCCCAGAGCUGUGUUAGUCACCCACGCUCAUUCGCUCCCGUCCGUGACCACCACCCCGGGUGGGCGGAUCUCCGUGACUGGUCUACGUUUGAGGAAGACGCACGGGGCUCAAGUUCUCGUGGCAGUCGAGCACUGUAGACAUUCUUUUUUCCCUUAUACUUUCUCUACUUCUUUGUCUUUCACGUGUGGCACGCUUUGGUUACUCAGAAAUGGGACAGGAACACGCUAGACCUGCUAAGGGCUUGCUAGCUUGUGACAUUGUGAAAGAAAGGGCAGGGAAAGAUGCAAUGUUGAAACUUAAAAAGAUUGCUAAGGUGUGUGGCUUCCAGAUGUUGCCUAGUGGGAGAUUGCAGCCUGAGUUUUGGAGAAAGCUACUCAUAGACAAGGAAGGGUUGUUGUUGGAUAAUGGACUUACGAAGGUUGCAGAGGCUUGGUAUCGGGUAGCUAGAGGUUUGAAACGGGAAGGAUGGGUCGAGGAAGAACUGGAGUUCGAGGGCCAAAUUGUGUAUGUUUAUCAUAGAAGUGUUCACAAUGAUGAUGUUGUUUCUAUUGUUCCACGACCACCGCCCUAUGAUGGCGCCCGGAGCGCAACACUUAAUUCCCGCCCUGCUUCUCCCGUCACAGCACAAACCCCACCCUCCGGGGGUGUGCCUUCAGCUCCCACUCCCCUGUGCCCCGUACUUGGUGUGGAUGGUGCUUACUAUUAUCCAGUCCCACUUCACUCAUUCCCACCUACUCCCAUGCCUCAACCCUCCUAUGACCCAACCCCUUCCAUCAGCCAUCCUUCCAUCAUGCCUGCCGAAGCCCCUCCGCCUUCAUGUCCUUCGCUACCUCUCCCAGUGACCAUCCCCACUCCGGACCCUGCCAUGGCUUUCCCCACCUUACCCAUUGAAGUCCCACCUUCCUCCUCCGCUUCCCUCUCAACCCCGAGUACCCCUUCCCUAGUAACUCCCGUUCCCUCACCCUCUCCGUCUAUUACACAUCCAACUCCCCUGACCCAUACCCUUUCCACCGGCCCUAUUCCUCCGGAUCUCUGUCUCCCCGCUGACCCAGGACCCCUCCCUCCCACGGCCAAUUUGCCGUCCCUAAUCUCUGCCCUCACCGCCCUGACCCAACCCCCUGUUACCACCUCUCCAUCCCCUUCUCCAGUGUUACCUCCUCCUCCCGAAGUCCCAGCCCCCUCUACCUCGUUACCCCUCCCUCCCACGGCCAAUUUGCCAUCCCUAAUCUCUGCCCUCACCGCCCUGACCCAACCCCCUGUUACCACCUCUCCAACCCCUUCUCCAGUGUUACCUCCUCCUCCCGAAGUCCCAGCCCCCUCUACCUCGUUACCCCUCCCUCCCACGGCCGAUUUGCCGUCCCUAAUCUCUGCCCUCACCGCCCUGACCCAACCCCCUGUUACCACCUCUCCAUCCCCUUCUCCAGUGUUACCUCCUCCUCCCGAAGUCCCAGCCCCCUCUACCUCGUUACCCCUCCCUCCCACGGCCGAUUUGCCGUCCCUAAUCUCUGCCCUCACCGCCCUGACCCAACCCCCUGUUACCACCUCUCCAACCCCUUCUCCAGUGUUACCUCCUCCUCCCGAAGUCCCAGCCCCCUCUACCUCGUUACCCCUCCCUCCCACGGCCGAUUUGCCGUCCCUAAUCUCUGCCCUCACCGCCCUGACCCAACCCCCUGUUACCACCUCUCCAUCCCCUUCUCCAGUGUUACCUCCUCCUCCCGAAGUCCCAGCCCCCUCUACCUCGUUACCCCUCCCUCCCACGGCCGAUUUGCCGUCCCUAAGCUCUGCCCUCACCGCCCUGACCCAACCCCCUGUUACCACUUCUCCAACCCCUUCUCCAGUGUUACCUCCUCCUCCCGAAGUCCCGGCCCCCUCUACCUCGUUGUCUACUCCUCCACUGAUUGGUUUGCCGUCCCUUGCCUCCGCCAACGUUGCUCUGCCACAGCCCCUUGUUCCAAUCCCUCCAACCCCUUCCCCGGAAACCCUUGACGCAUCCAUGCCUAAUGACCUGUCUACCUCGAUAUCCGCCCUUUUCACUGCUGUCACUUCCCUGGUUAACUCUGCGAUCCCUGCACUGCCUCCCACUGAUAUACUUCCUCCUCCUCCUCCUCCUCCUCCCCCGGAACCUUCGACCCCUCCCUUGUCUCCCGCUAACCUCCCCGAGCCUUCCGAUCCAAUCUCUGCUCUUGCUCAUGUCCUAAACACCCACCUCUCACGCCCAGCCCCGCCGGCCCCCAUGAUGGCCCCUUCCACGGCUUUAGUUCCCGUGUCCCUUCCGCCAGCACUAGUUACCCAAUCAUGGUGGUUGGGUCCGAGGUGUCUGCGACUUCGGACCAGCCCUAUGCGAUGGGUGCCUCCCCCCAAGCCUCGGGCUUCCACCCUGCUACCUCUCCUAUUACCGCCCUCCCAGUUGCCCCCGCUACAGCUACCCCUGAGGCUACUCUUCACCGUGGUCCGGUGGUGCCCGAGGAGGUCGUUGUGGUGGCCCAGAGCUCACCCCACCUGGGGGGGAAAGGCUUCCCCAACGGACACUCCAUUCCCCAGGGGUAUACUCAGAUUAGUCAUGGUGCGGAUGGUGCACCACCUAUGUAUGUUACUUUUAACCCUUCCCAAGCCGCUACCCUUGUGACCUCACUCCCUGAUCCUGAGAAACACCCCAUGCCCUUUUUCCGCAGGAUGGCUCAGAUCCGUAAGACAUAUUCCGCUGCUUGGCGGGAUCUUAUUAGUUUAUGUGAAAUUAAGGCUGGAGAUGCAUACUGGCCAAUCAUGGAACGGAGCUUUAGUGACGCUCCACUUACUUCUGAUACUGAUUUUCGUUCUGGUGAAAUUUUCUGCGAACAACUUCGCGCCUGGGCGCAGGAUAAACUGGCUGACCAGGCUACUUGCAUUAAUGACAUAAUACAGGACAAACUUGAGACUGUUGAAAAGUAUCACUCUAGGUUGACUCAGACUUUCUCGGACUUAGGGUUCAGCACUUACAAUAAGGCACACACCCAGAUGCUAUCUGCAGCUUUUGUGGCAGGACUGAGAGAACACAUUCGUAAGGGGUUGAUUUUAGCUCGCCCUGAGUAUAGAAUUAUUCCACUAGACACCCUUUUGUUGGUAGCCAAGGUUUUAGAAUCUGUUUUACAACCCACACAGCGUAGGGCUAGUCCGCUGAUGUACACCACCUCCACACCAGUUGCUGGUUCUAACCAAGUUCCUCAGAUGUUCCCCCAACAGUACACUCAAUCACCCCAGACACUGCCUGCACCAAUCCCUUUCCCCCGGGACUGGACUAUCACGACAAUCCGGACCUGUUUUAAUUGUAAUCAGCCAGGCCACUUUAGAAGAGAUUGCCCACAGCCUAGAGUGUUCCGCCAGCAAACUCCCCGGUACCAAAGUCCCCAUGUCACUGGCUACAACUUCCCUUCCCCUGGUUACCUCCCCGCCCUUCCCCAUCCGCAAUUGCCUCAGCUCCCCCCACCACCACCACCUCCUCCUCCUCCUCCUCCUGAAUACACUCAAGCCCGGCUCCUUGCAUCAGAAGCUCGAGCAUAUACUUCACCCUCCGCUGAAGGGUAUGACAAUGAUGAUUUCCUAGACGGCCAACCCCGUCAUACCCUCCGCCCAUCCCGUCCCCCCAUGCAUUCUGCCAACCCUCCUUCCACUUCCCGCCGGUACCAGGGACCAGACCAGGCCCAUUUGGAUUUAUUGCAAUAGGUAACCGGCAAGCCUGUGUCAGCAACCCCUGCCAUGGCAGUGUCUGCGGGGGAUGGGGGGGGCCCUUUAGCUACUGUAGUUCUCCCUGUGGAGGGCCACCCCACCACUUUCCUAGUUGACACAGGUGCAGCCCGUAGUGUCCUUAGGGAACAAGACCUGCCAGACCCAUCUUUCUUAUCUGACACUGAUGUUUCCUGUGUUGGGGUGGAUGGUACACCACGCAGCAACCCCCUUACUAAGCUCCUACACGUAGGUUCACACAUCCUCUCCCGAUUUGUUGUUUCCUCUACCUGCCCCAUUAACCUCCUAGGUGCCGAUGUUCUCUCUCGGCUCCAGGCCUCCAUUACCUUCACUGCAGAUGGGCAGAUUGAAUUGACAACCCCCUUAUCACAAAAGGAUACCUCUGUCCUCUGUUCACUCCCUAUUUUAUUAAACCUAACUGACAAUACAGGGGAUGCACGGGUCCCACAAACCCCCAGUGCUCUGGAUCGUAUCCCUCAAGAACUUUGGUCCACUGGCCCGGAUGAUAUUGGGCGAUUGCAUGUGCCCCCAGUCUUAGUCCAGCUCCUGCCCGGGGUACUGCCUCCUCGCAGGCCACAGUACCCUCUGAAGCCUGCACAAGCUGAAGCCAUUACCAGACAAGUUGAAAGUCUCCUUGCCAAAGGUGCCCUCAUCAAGUGUACAUCUCCAUGCAAUACUCCACUUUUUCCGGUUAAAAAGAGAACUGUUAAAGGUCAGCCUGACCAGUACCGCAUGGUGCAGGAUCUCCGUGCUGUGAAUGAUGUAACCAUAAAAGACUCCGCAAUUGUUCCUAACCCCCACACCCUCUUAUCCCAAGUCCCACCUACUUCAACAAUAUUCACCGUGGUGGAUCUAGCUAAUGCCUUCUUCAGUGUCCCCCUUGACCCUUCCUGUCGUUUCCUCUUUGCCUUUACCCAUGAAGGACAGCAAUACACCUGGACUGUUAUGCCUCAGGGGGCUCAGAAUUCCCCCACACAGUUUGCUCACACCAUGUCCCUGGUGCUGGAUCCCUGGCAGAAGUCUCAUUUGGAUGUCGUCCUGCUUCAAUAUGUUGAUGAUCUACUUCUCUGUGCUCCUGAUUUGCUCAUUGCAGAACGUGAUUCAGAAGAUCUAUGUUUCCUUGCUGCAGCUGGUUGCAAAGCCUCAAAAUCCAAGUUACAAUGGUGCCGGCCCUCUGUGGUCUUCUUGGGACACUGCCUUUCCCAUGGCACCAAACAUUUAACCUCUCAACGUGUACAAGCCAUUCUGCAUCUUCCAUUACCUGCAAAUCACCAGGCUCUCCAUGCUUUUCUGGGUCUUAUCACGUACUGCAGGUCCUGGAUACCUGAAGCAUCAAAGCUCAUGCAGCCACUCUAUGAUGCCCUCAGGAGUGAGCCCUUUCAUCUCACAGAAGAAACUAUUAUCUGUUUCCACACUCUGAAAAGAGCUAUUGCUUCUGCACCUGCCUUGGGCCUACCCAACUACCAACUUCCCUUCAACCUGUUUGUCUCCGAAAAAUCAGGACAUGCUUCCGGAGUCCUCACCCAGAAACAUGGAUCAAGACAACGCCCUAUUGGCUAUUUUUCCUGCAUGCUUGAUCCUGUUGCAAGGGGUAGCCCCUCUUGCCUCCGAGCGGUGUUUGCCGCCAGCGCUCUCCUGGACAAGACCAAUGACUUUGUUCUUGGCCAUCACCUCACAGUGUUGGCCCCUCACGACAUUACUGCAAUCCUGCAGCAAGUUCGACCUAAACACCUUUCUUCCCAACGUCACCUUCGCCUACAGACCUCCUUACUCCUACCUGAUAAUGUGAAACUCCAGAGAUGCCUUUCCCUGAACCCAGCCACUCUUCUGCCACUUCCCAAGGGGGGAAUUGUGCAUCACUGGUACAGCCUGGAUAUCAACCCAGAGGUUCGAGCAGAUUUACAGUUGCCUGUAUCCACACCCCCACAUGAUGAACAAUCAGAGGCCCUACUCCACUGUGUCUUGUGGUUUAGGGACGUACCAAGCCCUGAUGUGGACUAUGAGGAAGAACUAUUUCAGCUCAAAGAAAUUCAGAUUACCCUGACUGACUUAUUUUGGGACUCCACAGGUACCAUGCUCAUUUUGGUUCACCUUCCAAAUAAUGUAGCACACCUCUACCACCAUUGGGAAACAGCUAUCCCACACAUAUCUCUCACCAGAUCCCACGACACCUCAUGGGAGAACCUAGGCCCGAUGGCCAAAACCUGGAACCAAAUGACUCAAGAACAACUGACUUCUACGGGGAUAAAUAAAAAGACCAUUAACUACUGCACAACAGGAUACUCCAGGUACCACACAGAGGCCUGUGAGGACCCACCCACCAUAGACUGCAAUCUCAUUGAUAUUCCUCAUGACUGUUUUGAACAAAUGAAAAUGGAAACUACACACUUACCAACUGUUUAUGAAGCUGCAUUACUCAACCCAGAUCAAACACUAUUUGUGGAUGGCUCAAGGUUUGCUGAUGAACAAGGACAAUACCACACUGGAUAUGCAGUCACCACAGGAUGUCAAAUAUUACAAGCAGCUGCCCUACAACCAACUAAGUCUGCCCAAGAGGCCGAGUUAACAGCCUUGACUGUGGCCUGCAAACUGUCCGAAGAUCUACGAGUCAACAUUUAUACGGACUCAAGAUAUGCCCUGGGAGUGGCACACGAUUUUGGCUUAAUUUGGAAGACCAGAGGAUUUCUUACAGCCACCGGUACCCCAGUAAAACAUGGGGCAGCCAUUGCAGAGCUGAUGGACGCAUUGGAACUCCCAGCAGAAGUGGCAGUAUUGAAAGUAAAAGCUCAUGGAAGAUUAGACACAGAAGAAGCACGUGGCAACAACUUAGCUGAUCAGGCAGCCAAAGAGGCAGCACGACAAGGAUGGGAAGUGGACAGAAGAGUGGCCACAGAUACAUUACCCAUUUACACUAUGCAAACAUUGCCUACAGAUCUCAGGCUGCUGAAGGAACAACAAGCUGCUGCCACUCCUCAGGAGAAACAAAGUUGGAAGAACAAAGGAGCAAUACUCCGUGAUGAAGUUUACACCAUUAAUCUCAAGUUCUGCCUACCUAGAAGUAUGUACCCAGCGGUGGUCCAGUGGGCCCAUGGGCCAGCCCACCUGUCAAAGCUCCUGAUGAACUCACUGAUUGACAAGUAUUUUGAAGCACCAGGCAUCACUACUUUAACACAGAAUUACUGCAAAUCUUGUACUAUAUGUGCUAAAUGCAAUCCUGGAAAGGUCAUAAAGACUGCACCUAAUCAUCUAGCUAAACCACAAUACCCCUUCCAGAGGAUUCAGAUUAACCACAUUCAGAUGCCAAAGAGCGGACGUUAUGAAUAUGCAUUGGUUAUAGUGGACAUGUUUUCAGGAUGGCCAGAGGCCUUCCCAGUGACUAAUCUCACCGCGAGGACUACAGCCAAGUACCUUUUGACAGAAAUUGUUUGCCGCUGCGGGGUUCCAGAAGUAAUUGAAAGUGACCAAGGGACCUCCUUCACUGCCUCGCUAACACGGGAAGUCUGGUCAGCACUGGGGGUGACCCUUGCAUUCCACACACCAUAUCACCCACAGAGUAGUGGUAAGGUAGAGCGCAUGAAUGGCACUUUGAAAGCCAGAAUGCUUAAAAUGUCACAAGAAACUAACAUGCCCUGGCCCGAGAGUCUCCCACUAGCGUUAUUCAGUGUAAGGUACACUCCCAGAGGAAAAUACAGUUUGUCACCCUAUGAGAUUUUGUUUGGUACAGCACCCAGGUUAGGUUGCUAUUUUCCCCAACAGCUUCAGAUUCAGUCAGACGCUAUGGUAGACUAUGUGACUGCCCUCUCACAUGCCUUGACCAAGAUACAUGCCCAAGUGUUUUCUUCUAUUCCAGAUCCUGAGUCGAAUACAG